rnacentral:misc_RNA from 1 species
AGUUUGAUUCUGGCUCGAUUGAACGCUGGCGGGAUGCUUUACACAUGCAAGUCGAGCGGCAGCACAGACUUCGGUCUGGUGGCGAGUGGCGAACGGGUGGUAAUGUAUCCGGAACGUGCCUAGUAGCGGGGGAUAACUACGCGAAAGCGUAGCUAAUACCGCAUACGCCCUUCGGGGGAAAGCGGGGACCUUCGGGCCUCGCACUAUUAGAGCGGCCGAUAUCGGAUUAGCUAGUUGGUGGGGUAACGGCUCGCAAGGCGACGAUCCGUAGCUGGUUUGAGAGGACGACCAGCCACACUGAGACUGAGACACGGCCCAGACUCCUACGGGAGGCAGCAGUGGGGAAUUUUGGACAAUGGGGGAAACCCUGAUCCAGCCAUCCCGCGUGUGCGAUGAAGGCCUUUCGGGUUGUAAAGCACUUUUGGCAGAAAGAAACGGCACGGGAUAUUACCCCGUGCAACUGACGGUACCUGCAGAAUAAGCACCGGCUAACUACGUGCCAGCAGCCGCGGUAAUACGUAGGGUGCAAGCGUUAAUCGGAAUUACUGGUCGUAAAGCGUGCGCAGGUGGUUCGGAAAAGAAAGAUGUGAAAUCCCAGAGCUUAACUUUGGAACUGCAUUUUUAACUACCGAGCUAGAAAUUGUGUCAGAGAGUGGAAUUCCGCGUGUAGCAGUGAAAUGCGUGAUAUGCGGAGGAACACCGAUGGCGAAGGCAGCCUCUGGGAUAACACUGACGCUCAUGCACGAAAGCGUGGGAGCAAACAGGAUUAGAUACCCUGGUAGUCCCCGCCCUAAACGGUGUUAAACUAGCUGUUGGGGCCUUCGGGCCUUGGUAGCGCAGCUAACGCGUGAAGUUGACCGCCUGAGAAUUACGGUCGCAAGAUUAAAACUCAAAGGAAUUGACGGGGACCCGCACAAGCGGUGGAUGAUGUGGAUUAAUUCGAUGCGCGAAAAACCUUACCUACCCUUGACAUGUCUGGAAUCCGAAGAGAUUUGGGAGUGCUCGCAAGAGAACCAGGAACACAGGUGCUGCAUGGCUGUCGAAGUAGCUCGUGUUGAGAUGUUGGGUUAAGUCCCGCAACUGAGCGCAACCCUUGUCAUUAGUUGCUGAAAAGGGCACUCUAAUGAGACUGCCGGUGACAAACCGGAGGAAGGUGGGGAUAGCGUCAAGUCCUCAUGGCCCAUAUGGGUAGGGCUUCACACGUCAUACAAUGAGGUGGGACAGAGGGUCGCCAACCCGCGAGGGGAGCCAAUCCCGAGAAGCCGGUCGUAGUCCGGAUGCGGUCUGCAACUCCUGACUGCGUGAAGUCGGAAUCGCUGGUAAUCGCGGAUCAGCAUGUCGCGGUGAAUACGUUCCGGGUCUUGUACACCGCCCGUCACACCAUGGGAGUGGGUUUUCAGUAGUUAGCCUAACCGUAGGGAGGCGUUACCCGCAGUAGGAUUCAUGACUGGGGUGAAGGGCGGUGUGUACAGACCCGGGAACGUAUUCACGCGACAUGCUGAUCCGCGAUUACUGGCGAUUCCGACUUCCCGCAGUCAGUUGCAGACUGCGAUCCGGACUGAUCGGGUUUCUGGGAUUGGCUCCCCCUCGCGAUUAACUCCCGACCGAUGGCGUGAAGCCCUACCAUAAAGGGCCAUGAACUUGACGUCAUCCCGCCUCCGGUUUGUGUCGAGUGCCGCCACUCGCAAUAACUCGGCACUAAUGACAAGAGUUACGCGCUCGUUGACACCCAAUAACCUCUCGCAUUUUGUGACGACAAUAUGCAGCCACCUAUGUUCCAGUGCUGCGAAGCAAAUCUAAGUUCCAGACGAUAUCAAAAGAGGCAGAUUUGUCGCCUUGCAUCAAAUAAUCCAUCAUCAUAAAGCGAGUACUACAGUUUAAUCUUGCGUUAUACUCCCAGACUAGCUACGCUACCAGGCAUCAGCUUUAACUAGUUGACGUCGUUUGGCGUGGACUACCAGGGGUAUCUAAUUUGUUUGCUCCCCGCGCUUUCGUCCCAUGGCGUCAGUCAAAUUUGCGAGCUCAAGCCAUCGGUCACUCCGCGCAUAUCUACGCAUUCCGCAUCACAUAUUAUUCAUUUGAGUUCAGAAAUUCUUUUUUGGUUCAA